rnacentral:sRNA from 1 species
UGAAAUACUAGAUUUGUCUCCUCCUAAAC